AGAAUCAACGCUGGCGGCGUGCCUCAGACAUGCAAGUCGAACGCGAAAGCUCCCUUCGGGGGGUGAGUAGAGUGGCGCACGGGUGAGUAACACGUAGGUAAUCUACCUUUGGAUGGGGAAUAACAACCGGAAACGGUUGCUAAUACCGCAUAAUGCAGCGGCACCUAAUGGUGACAGUUGUUAAAGCGGGGGAUCGAAAGACCUCGCGUCUGAAGAGGAGCCUGCGGCGGAUUAGCUAGUUGGUAGGGUAAUGGCCUACCGAAGGCUACGAUCCGUA
rnacentral:rRNA from 1 species